GUCAGUGUGGCGUAGUGGUUUGAGCACUAGACUACACCUUUGGAGACCAGGAUUCGAUUCCCAACUCAGCCA